ACGGGAGACACACGGCGGGUGCUAACGUCCGUCGUGAAGAGGGAAACAACCCAGACCGCCAGCUAAGGUCCCAAAGUCAUGGUUAAGUGGGAAACGAUGUGGGAAGGCCCAGACAGCCAGGAUGUUGGCUUAGAAGCAGCCAUCAUUUAAAGAAAGCGUAAUAGCUCACUGGUCGAGUCGGCCUGCGCGGAAGAUGUAACGGGGCUAAACCAUGCACCGAAGCUGCGGCAGCGACACUAUGUGUUGUUGGGUAGGGGAGCGUUCUGUAAGCCUGUGAAGGUG
rnacentral:rRNA from 1 species